AGAAUCAACGCUGGCGGCGUGCCUAACACAUGCAAGUCGAACGAGAAAGUGGAGCAAUCCAUGAGUAAAGUGGCGACCGGGUGAGUAACACGUGACUAACCUACCUUCAAGUGGGGAUAACCUCGGGAAACCGGGCUAAUACCGCAUAACAUCUUUGGAGUGGAAAUUCUGGAGAUCAAAGGAGCAAUUCGCUGGAAGAGGGGUCGCGGCUGAUUAGCUAGUUGGCGGGGUAAUGGCCCACCAAGGCUUUGAUCGGUA
rnacentral:rRNA from 1 species